UACGUAGGUGGCAAGCGUUGUCCGGAUUUAUUGGGUUUAAAGGGUGCGUAGGCGGCCCUGUAAGUCAGCGGUGAAAUCCGGCAGCUCAACUGUCGAGGUGCCGUUGAUACUGCGGGGCUUGAGUGUUGAUGAGGCAGGCGGAAUUGACGGUGUAGCGGUGAAAUGCUUAGAUAUCGUCAAGAACACCGAUAGCGAAGGCAGCCUGCCAAGCAACAACUGACGCUGAGGCACGAAAGUGCGGGGAUCAAACAGG
rnacentral:rRNA from 1 species